rnacentral:tRNA from 1 species
CCCUGCGUGGUGCAAUGGUGAAGUAUUCAGCUGCUAACUGAAAGGUUGGUGGUUUGAAACCACCCAAAGGUA